rnacentral:rRNA from 1 species
UACGAAGGGGGCUAGCGUUGUUCGGAAUUACUGGGCGUAAAGGGCGCGUAGGCGGUGUGUCAAGUCAGGCGUGAAAGCCCCGGGCUCAACCUGGGAACCGCGCUUGAGACUGGCACGCUCGAGUUCGGGAGAGGAUGGUGGAAUUCCCGAGUGUAGAGGUGAAAUUCGUAGAUAUUGGGAAGAACACCGAUGGCGAAGGCAGCCAUCUGGACCGACACUGACGCUGAGGCGCGAAAGCGUGGGGAGCAAACAGGG